UACGAAGGGGGCUAGCGUUGCUCGGAAUCACUGGGCGUAAAGCGCACGUAGGCGGCUCGUUAAGUCAGGGGUGAAAUCCUGGAGCUCAACUCCAGAACUGCCUUUGAUACUGGCGACCUUGAGUUCGGGAGAGGUGAGUGGAACUGCGAGUGUAGAGGUGAAAUUCGUAGAUAUUCGCAAGAACACCAGUGGCGAAGGCGGCUCACUGGCCCGAUACUGACGCUGAGGUGCGAAAGCGUGGGGAGCAAACAGG
rnacentral:rRNA from 1 species